AUGAGAUGGAUUGUCACCAGCGACUUCAACCAAGUCUAUCGGGCCAGAGAUAAGAACCGUACAAAUGUCAAUCGCAGCCGUAUUGUUCGCUUCCGCAACGCCCUCAAUGCUUGUGAGCUAAAGGAGAUACACUUGCAGAAUAGGAAAUUCACAUGGAGCAAUGAACAAGCAAACCCGACCAUGAGCAAACUUGAUAGCUUCUUUUGCAAUGAAGAUUGGGACAUUCAGUUUGGCUCCCACCUUCUCCACGCAUUGCCAUCUUCAUUGUCCGACCACUGCCCUCUACUCCUCGCUAGUGAUGUGGGGCCCUCCCAGCCAAAAUGCUUCCGCUUUGAAAACUUUUGGAUCAAGAUGCCUAACUUCAAGAAGACUGUCCAAGAUGCUUGGAAUGAGAGAGUCCCCCAUGUUGAACCAUGUCAAAUCCUCUUUCACAAGCUAAAAAGAGUUAGUCAAUGCCUUCGCACUUGGAGCAAAAAGAUCUUCUCAAACCAUAAGGUCCAACUUCACAUGGCCCUUGAUAUCAUUCUUAGAUUGGAUUUGGCCCAAGAAAGUAGAACAUUGAGCUUUGAGGAGAGGGACCUUCGGAGGAAGCUCAAAAGAAAGAUUGUGUCCCUUGCCAUUCUUGAGAGAGCUAGAAAGAGACAAAGCUCCAGGGUUACUUUGCUCAAAGAGGGUGAUGCCAACACGCGUUUCUUCCACCUUCGCGUCAACCACAGAAGAAGAAGAAAAUUAUUCAUCGAUUGA
rnacentral:rRNA from 1 species